CUCAUACGUAUGUCCUCUCCUCUCCAUUGAGCUGAACUUCACAUUCAGGCAACAUUUUACACAAUAAUCCAACCAUAUCAAGAAGGUGAAACAUCCUAAACUGUGACCAGGCUUAACAUAAAGAGCUACACCCGUACAUUAGUAAGGUACUUGUUAUUAACUUUUCUUUUCCUCAUGUUCUGUGUUGGUUUAAUCUUAUCAAAAUACUAACACGUUUUGUGUUCAAGUUCAGCUGAACUGUCAACAUUCUUCAACUAAAUAAGCAAAAAGCUGAGGAACAGCAUGGAACUUCCUCUAAUGUCAGGUGUGAAUAUUAUGCUGUUGGGCUCGACUGGAUCAGGAAAGAGUGCGACAGGAAACACCAUCAUAGGUGGAGAUAGAAAACUAUUUGAAGAAGAUUUUUCUCCUGAGUCUGUAACCAGAUUCUGUGAUUCAGAAGAUACAGAGGUGGAUGGACAAACAAUCACAGUGAUCGACACUGCAGGACUCUAUGAUACAUCGAAGAAAAUUACA